AGUUCCGGGGCGUGGCUUCUCUGCUCCCCGCCAGUUGAUCUCACAUGUGAUUCUUGGUACGAAGAUGAUUCGAACCAGCCCCAUCUGCAUCCCAACUGUGAACAGUGACAGGGACUGGGACUUCUGCUUCCAUCUGUCACAGAAAACCAAGAUCCCAGCACGUGAACAAACAGAUGAGUUUUAUCCCACUAGUGGGUCUGAAGAGAGUGAAGAGGAAAUUAUAGUUGCGGAGAAGGCCAUCAACUCUAUGUCUCUCCCCAGAGAUAAAUUAGCCCAAUCACAGAAGAAAGCAGCUCAGCUGAUUAAGGAAAAAUUGAAUGUCCAAGCAAACAAGGAGCUGAUUCGCUGUGUCAUCCUUUCUCGGAUUAUUUUUGGGGAAGACCACUGGAAAUGUGCACAGGCUGUGGCCAACCUGGCUUACGGCUACCUAACACUGAGAGGCCUCCCAUCUCAGGCCAAGAGACAUGCCGAGUCGGUGAAGCACACGCUGCUGACCUGGAAGGGAAACACCACCUCAAACAAGGAGAAAAGGGAGAUCCUGGAAGUUCUGGUCAUGCUCUACUAUACUCUGGGGGUGGCCUGCCUCCUGCAGAACCGUGGCAAAGAAGCUUAUAUCAAUCUGCAGAAGGCAGAGAGAAACAUGAAGGAACUGAAAGAAUUCUUUAAGGAAGGCGUUUCUGGAUUGCAGGUCUCAGAGAAAGACCUAACAGUUGCUUUGGGCAGAGCCUCCCUGGCCAUCCAGAGGUUGAACCUCGCUCUGGCAUACUUUGAAAAGGCAAUUGGCAACGUUAUCACUGCCAAGGGUGACAGGACGUCAGACCUGAUCUAUCUCUAUGAGGAAAUAGCUCAGAUUGAGCAGCUACGGAGGAACCACGACCAGGCCAUCCAGUAUUUGCAGCAGGCUCUCUCUAUCUGUACGUGCUUGUUCAGUGAAGUCAGCCCUCAAACUGCAGAGGCGAAUGCAUUACUAGCCAAGGCUUAUGCUAUGUCUGGGGAGGCCCACCACAGGGAUACUGUUGCUAUUUAUUUUAUAAAAAGUAUCACUGCGUAUCAAGCUACCUUGGGCCCAGAGGAUUAUGAAACACUGACGACCAUUGACGAAUUUUGCAAAUGGCUGAUCCAAAACGGGGAUAAACAGGAGGCCUACAGACUACUGAAGUCUUCACUGAAGUCUCAGGUCAUCAGCUAUGGUGACUGCAGUGACAAAGUGGCUGAAACAUUCUAUAAUAUGGGCAGGAUCUGCUUUGCCAAAGGAGAACUCAAAAAGGCAGUUCAGCUGCUAAGGAAGUGUCUGAUGAUUCAAAUCAUUUUAUAUGGAACUGAGCACAGUAAAAGCAAAGACACCAAAAACCUCCUCACCCUACUACAGAGGACGAGUAAAAGUUCAUCCAAGUGGAAGAAAGAAGCCAACGCAGGACGAAAGAACACUAUAUGCAAAGGCACGGAGGUGUGACAGAAGGCGUAUGGUGAGGGAGUUUCUGGAGACAGAGAAGCCUGGGUUCAGACUCCAGAACCACCAACUUUUAGCUAGGUCUUCUAUUAUCGAUAAAAGAGAAAACUUUUAUUCAAGACAGCUGACAAUAAAGCCAACCUUGUCGAUACCAGACAUUCUGGACCACAGUAUGUAUUUAUCAACACUGCCAGCAGUGGCGAAUCAAAAGCUGACCAGCUGACUUUGGGGAAAAAAGUCUGCUUAGCAACAGUAUUACAGGUAAAGUACCCAAGAGCCAUUAGAAAUCAGGCCCCUGAUCAGUAACUGGAGGGUGGGGGGGAGGUGGAGAGAAUCUUUUUUGGACACAUAUUUUUAGUUUCUUAGGUCACUGGAACGCUGUUGUCUAUUGUUUCUCUCUUUCUAACGAAUCUCAUUCCUUUCAAUUAUGAUUUAUUUUGUGCACAGGGCAGGGGGUUUAAUAAUACUUAGGUAAUUUAUUCAUUCUUAGGUAGUGAACAUUUUGAAUGCUUUUGGGGAGUAUUUUUAGUCUUAACUUGAGGUCCCUAAAACUGCCUUGUGAAGACAUGUUUGAUCUUCUGAAUCAUUUUCCCUCAUCUGAUUUAUUGAAGUCAUGAAAUACAUUCCAAUCAAACACCUGAUGUUCCUAACAGACCUGAGCCAGUCUAGUCGCCAGCCAAUCUAGUCAUAUUCUUAAUUCGAGAUGGAUAAGUGCUAGCCUUUUGUCUACAAUCUCUUUAUCAAGUUGGAAAAAAAUAUCAAGGCCAGAUCAAACUGUCCCCCACACAAAUUUUGUUAUUUUUUAAAAUUAAUUUUUUUCUUUUACAUCAUUGUGUAGUCCCCAUGAAAUUCCCAUCACCAACUCACCCGUGAACCAUCACCAUAGUCCCUUGUGCUCUUCUCUCCCUGUUUCGAUCCCUUUUCCUCCUCACUCUCACAUAAUGUCUCUGAUUUAUGGUUGCCUGCUAAAUUUUUAAUUUUUUUUCCUGAUCCCUUAAUUUGGUUCCCCUAUAUUCCUCCUGUAGUGAUACAUUUCUUUUUUCUUCUGGAUUAUUUCAGUGAGAAUGAUCCCUUCUUGUUGUGAAUGGCAUGAGUUUAUCUUUUUUGAUUGCUGAAUAGUAUUCUAUUUUGUAUAUAUACUACAUCUUCUUGAUCCAGUCAUCUAUCUUUGGGCAUUUGGGCUGUUUCCAUAUCUUACCUAUUGUAAAUAGUACUGCAAUAAACAUAGGGGUGCAGGUAUCUUUUUGAAUUAAUGUUUUUGUGUCCUUUAGGUAGAUCCCUAGGAGUGGAAUUGCUGGGUUAUAUGGUAGCUCCAUUUUUAGUAGUUUGAGGAAUCUCCACACAGCUUUCCAUAGUGGUUGUACCAGUUUGCAUUCCUACCAGCAGUGUAGGGUUAGUUUCUUUUUCUCCACAUCCUCACCAACAUUUGUUGUCUCCUGUUUUUUAACGUGUGCCAUUCUCAAACAAAUUUUAAUAAACAUCUAUUAUCAGGCAUGUAAAAAAGUUUAUGCAACCUGUUCUGUAAGCUCAGUGAAGCUCGUUCUCUGUUUUGGUAGUUCACCCACCAUUGUCCAUGAAAGGUCCACCUAAGGCAAACUUGAUAAUACUCCAGAGAUAGGACUAUCCGAAUCCA